CUACUGGGGUUUCUAAUCCUGUUUGCUCCCCACGCUUUCGCACCUCAGCGUCAAUCCCGGUCCAGUAAGCCGCCUUCGCCACUGGUGUUCUUCCGAAUAUCUACGAAUUUCACCUCUACACUCGGAAUUCCACUUACCUCUCCCGGAUUCAAGCGAUGCAGUCUCAAAGGCAGUUCUGGAGUUGAGCUCCAGGCUUUCACCCCUGACUUACAAAGCCGCCUACGUGCGCUUUACGCCCAGUAAUUCCGAACAACGCUAGCCCCCUCCGUAUUACCGCGGCUGCUGGCAC
rnacentral:rRNA from 1 species